rnacentral:rRNA from 1 species
CUACGGGGGGCAGCAGUGGGGAAUAUUGGACAAUGGGGGAAACCCUGAUCCAGCGAUGCCGCGUGUGUGAAGAAGGCCUGCGGGUUGUAAAGCACUUUCGGUUGGGAGGACUGCUUCUAGCACUAAUAUUGUUGGAAGUUGACGUUACCUUCAGAAGAAGCACCGGCUAACUCCGUGCCAGCAGCCACGGUAAUACGGAGGGUGCAAGCGUUAAUCGGAAUUACUGGGCGUAAAGCGCGCGUAGGCGGCUAGAUCAGUCGGGUGUGAAAGCCCCGGGCUUAACCUGGGAACUGCAUCCGAUACUGUCUAGCUUGAGUACAGGAGAGGAGAGUGGAAUUCCACAUGUAGCGGUGAAAUGCGUAGAUAUGUGGAGGAACACCAAUGGCGAAGGCAGCUCUCUGGCCUGAUACUGACGCUGAGGUGCGAAAGCGUGGGGAGCAAACAGGAUUAGAUACCCUCGUAGUC